rnacentral:rRNA from 1 species
UACGUAGGGACCAAGCGUUGUCCGGAAUCAUUGGGCGUAAAGCGCACGUAGGCGGAUUGUUAAGUCGGGGGUGAAAUCCUGGAGCUCAACUCCAGAACUGCCUUCGAUACUGGCGAUCUCGAGUUCGGGAGAGGUGAGUGGAACUGCGAGUGUAGAGGUGAAAUUCGUAGAUAUUCGCAAGAACACCAGUGGCGAAGGCGGCUCACUGGCCCGAUACUGACGCUGAGGUGCGAAAGCGUGGGGAGCAAACAGG